rnacentral:rRNA from 1 species
AACCUCCGCAAUGUGAGAAAUCGCGACGGGGGGAUCCCAAGUGCCAUUCUUAACGGGAUGGCUUUUCAUUAGUGUAAAGAGCUUUUUGGAAUAAGAGCUGGGCAAGACCGGUGCCAGCCGCCGCGGUAACACCGGCAGCUCUAGUGGUAACAAUUUUUAUUGGGCCUAAAGCGUCCGUAGCCGGUUUAAUAAGUCUCUGGUGAAAUCCUGCAGCUUAACUGUGGGAAUUGCUGGAGAUACUAUUAGACUUGAGACCGGGAGAGGUUAGAGGUACUCCCAGGGUAGAGGUGAAAUUCUGUAAUCCUGGGAGGACCGCCUGUUGCGAAGGCGUCUAACUGGAACGGUUCUGACGGUGAGGGACGAAAGUUAGGGGCGCGAACCGGAUUAGAUACCCGGGUAGUCCUAACUGUAAACGAUGCGGACUUGGUGUUGGGGUGGCUUUGAGCUGCUUCAGUGCCGAAGGGAAGCUGUUAAGUCCGCCGCCUGGGAAGUACGGUCGCAAGACUGAAACUUAAAGGAAUU